UACGUAGGGUGCAAGCGUUAAUCGGAAUUACUGGGCGUAAAGCGUGCGCAGGCGGUUUUGUAAGUCUGACGUGAAAUCCCCGGGCUCAACCUGGGAAUUGCGUUGGAGACUGCAAGGCUGGAGUCUGGCAGAGGGGGGUAGAAUUCCACGUGUAGCAGUGAAAUGCGUAGAGAUGUGGAGGAACACCGAUGGCGAAGGCAGCCCCCUGGGUCAAGACUGACGCUGAAGCACGAAAGCGUGGGGAGCAAACAGG
rnacentral:rRNA from 1 species